AAGUUGAAUAUAAAUAAAUAGAAGCAAUAUGAUUAAAAUGAUUUUUUUCUUUAGCAUAAGAAAACAAAAAUAAAAGAAAACAAUGCUUUGGAAAAAAAUUAAAACGGAGUGGGAACUAUCUUAAGUUAAAAAAUCACAAACAUAAAACAAAAUAAUAGGGACUUAAAUAAAAUAAGAAUGAAACGCCCAGCCCAAGAAUUGAACCGA
rnacentral:lncRNA from 1 species